rnacentral:rRNA from 1 species
CACCGUGCGAGUCGAGCGGUAGAGAGGUGCUUGCACCUCUUGAGAGCGGCGGACGGGCGAGAAAGCAUAGGAAUCUGCCUGGUAGUGGGGGAUAACGUUCGGAAACGGACGCUAAUACCGCAUACGUCCUACGGGAGAAAGCAGGGGACCUUCGGGCCUUGCGCUAUCAGAUGAGCCUAGGUCGGAUUAGCUAGUUGGUGAGGUAAAGGCUCACCAAGGUAACGAUCCGUAACUGGGCUGAGAGGAUGAUCAGUCACACUGGAACUGAGCCAGGAUCAACUCUUSUACGGGAGGCAGCAGUGGGGAAUAUUGGACAAUGGGCGAAAGCCUGAUCCAGCCAUGCCGCGUGUGUGAAGAAGGUCUUCGGAUUGUAAAGCACUUUAAGUUGGGAGGAAGGGUACUUACCUAAUACGUGAUUAUUUUGACGUUACCGACAGAAUAAGCACCGGCUAACUCUGAGCCAGGAUCCAACUCUAUACAGAGGGUGCAAGCGUUAAUCGGAAUUACUGGGCGUAAAGCGCGCGUAGGUGGUUCGUUAAGUUGGAUGUGAAAUCCCCGGGCUCAACCUGGGAACUGCAUCCAAAACUGGCGAGCUAGAGUAUGGUAGAGGGUGGUGGAAUUUCCUGUGUAGCGGUGAAAUGCGUAGAUAUAGGAAGGAACACCAGUGGCGAAGGCGACCACCUGGACUGAUACUGACACUGAGGUGCGAAAGCGUGGGGAGCAAACAGGAUUAGAUACCCUGGUAGUCCACGCCGUAAACGAUGUCAACUAGCCGUUGGGGGACCUUGAGUCUUUUAGUGGCGCAGCUAACGCAUUAAGUUGACCGCCUGGGGAGUACGGCGGCAGGGUUAAACUCAAAUGAAUUGACGGGGGCCGCACAAGCGGGGGAGCAUGUGGUUUAAUUCGAAGCAACGCGAAGAAACUUUACCAGGCCUUGACAUCCAAUGAACUUUCCAGAGAUGGAUUGUGCCUACGGGAAACAAUUGAGACAGGUGCUGGAUGGCUGUUCGACAC